GUAAAGUCUAGCCUGCCCACUGAUUUUAAAGGGCUGCGGUAAUUUGACCGUGCGAAGGUAGCAUAAUCACUAGUCUUUUAAUUGAAGGCUUGAAUGAACGGUUGGAUGAGGGGCAUACUGUCUUUUUAUUGUUAGCGAAUUUAACUUUUAAGUGAAAAGGCUUAAAUUAUUAGUGGGACGAUAAGACCCUAUAAAACUUUAUUUAGGGGGUUGAAAGCGGUUAAUUUAGUUUAAAUCUGUGUUCAUUUUUCUAAAUUUUGUUGGGGAGACAAUAAUAUAAUCUUAACUGUUAUUAGAAUUUAAUAAUUAUAAUUAGUUUUUGAUCCUUUAUUAGGGAUUUAAAGAUUAAGUUACUUUAGGGAUAACAGCGUAAUUUUCUUUGAGAGAUCUUAUCGACAAGAUUAGUUGCGACCUCGAUGUUGAAUUAAAAUUUCAGGGGGGUGUAGCCUUUCUCCUGGUGGGUCUGUUCGACCUU
rnacentral:rRNA from 1 species